GUGUAGGAGACUUCAGCAGCACAUAUACUAAAAUUGAAGCAAUACAGAGAAAAUUAGCAUGGCCCUGCACAAAGAUGUCAUGUAAAUUCAUGAAUCAUUCCAAACAAAG
ensembl:snRNA U6 U6 spliceosomal RNA